rnacentral:rRNA from 1 species
CUACGGGAGGCAGCAGUGGGGAAUAUUGGACAAUGGGCGCAAGCCUGAUCCAGCCAUGCCGCGUGAGUGAUGAAGGCCCUAGGGUUGUAAAGCUCUUUCGCCAGGGACGAUAAUGACGGUACCUGGAUAAGAAGCCCCGGCUAACUUCGUGCCAGCAGCCGCGGUAAUACGAAGGGGGCUAGCGUUGCUCGGAAUCACUGGGCGUAAAGCGCACGUAGGCGGAUUCUUAAGUCAGGGGUGAAAGCCUGGAGCUCAACUCCAGAACUGCCUUUGAUACUGGGAGUCUCGAGUUCGGGAGAGGUGAGUGGAACUGCGAGUGUAGAGGUGAAAUUCGUAGAUAUUCGCAAGAACACCAGUGGCGAAGGCGGCUCACUGGCCCGAUACUGACGCUGAGGUGCGAAAGCGUGGGGAGCAAACGGGAUUAGAUACCCGUGUAGUCC